GACUUCAUCUCCCCUGGAGGAGGGGCGCGGUGCUCCGAGCGGACGCUGAGUCUGUGACCUCUUUUCUUUCUUUUAUUUAAUACGAAACUAGUGCGUCCGCACACAGGGCCCACGGCCAAGCCAGACCCUGUGCGAACAGAGCAGCUUGGCCUGGCUCCUUAAAAGGUGAAGCCGAGCUGCACUUGAAGAACGAGUGAGCCCCUUCCUGCCUCUUCUCCUGGAGUUUGGAACUGUCAAGCUCCAGCUCCCACCCUCUCUCAGGUUCAAGACCCCUGAGCUGCCCAUGCUGUGGGGCCAGCCGUGCUUGGGGGCCUGGCGGGGCCUGCCUGGCCCGUGAGGAUUUGCACCAGCAGGUCGGUGGCUAGCAUGUGCGACGGCUCCUCGAAGCCGAUGGUCAGCAGCUGCUGGUAGUCUCCAGGAGGCUGCGGACACACAAUCCUGGGGGCCGGGGACAGACAAGUCUGGACUUUCCAGGUUCCAACGCAUCUUCUUAUAGAGAUACCGGGGAAAGCGGCUGGCGGUGUAGGCAGCAGGGGCACAGUAUCUGAAGAUGGACACCUCCUGGGAAGGACUGAUGGAGAACCUCCCGCAGAAGAAGCAGGAGAUGCUAGCAGGAGAUGGGAGAGUCCACAAACCCAAAGGAGGCAUACAUGAGCACCAGCUGUUCCAGGCGCAGGGUCAGCUGUUGGGAGAUCUCCAACAGCUGCAUGGAAGAGGGGACAUCUUAAGAUUAGCUGACCUGCCGGGAGUACCUCCUCCCCCACCACCAGCCUGAGAGAUGAAAAAAAGGGGCAUGGGGUCUAAGAAAAUGGCCCCACACACCCCCUUUCGAACCAGCUCCUGCAAGCCUCCAUAGAUGGGGGGCACACUCCGUGCAGCUGCUUCCAGGUACAGAAAGUAGGGCUCACACAUCUUUAAGAAGGUGGGCAUGGCCUUUGCCAGCUGUUCCUUCUGAACUCGGUCCCUGCUAAAGGGAGAAGAGGACCUUCAUUUAGGGUCCCUCAUCCCCCCUCGUUUCUCCCAUUCUAUUCACCCUCCACCUUUGUCCCUGAUCUGGACCUCUGUUACAAUGCUCCCACCCCCCAGCGACAGGCCUUUGUCAGAGCAUCUUCCAGGACAGACUGCAUCACAAGUAUUUGAAACACUUGUUAGCAAGCUGACACCUGAAUCCCAUAACUGAUUUUUGACUUGAAAUUCUUGGCAGUGUGGAGCCCAGAAACCUAGGGUUUAAACAGCCUCCCAGAACCAGUCCCUUUUUCCAGGGGCUGGGAAUGACAAGUCUUCUUUGGGGUCUCAAACUGGUAGCCAGCUGGCCAAAUCUGGCUCAGAUAGCUUUUAUUUAGCCUGCUCAGGGUCCAAAACCUAAGCCAUCAAUUAAAAGCUGAGAAAAAGUCCUAGAGAUUUGGCAACCUGGUGCCCACAUAAUAUCAGACACUCCCUAACCCCAAAUGGUACACAUCUCGCAUCAUUCUUUCAAACUGGAUUUCUAAUCAGCCAACUUCAUUCAUUAUCUCUGGCUCCUAAUGGCUUUUAAGUUUGCGACUCUGGUGUGUUCCCCCUGCUUAUCCAAUCAUCCUCCCCUCUGUCUGUAUCCACGGGGAUCCUGGGACCCUGUCCAGCAACACCUGUAGAGCAAGAAGCUUUGGAAAUCAUCCGCCUUCUUGAGCAGGUAGCGCAGCUGCUCGGUGAUGGGGCUGAACAUGGUGUCCAAGGGUAGGCGAGGUGUGGGCCCAGGGUCCAGGGCCAGAGGCUCCGGGGAAGGGGUAGAAGGGGAGGAGGCCUUGGGCAGCUGCCCCUGAAAGUCCUCUGGUUCCUCCUGGGCUGCAUCCCCAGGUUGGUCAGGGGGCAUCGACCACAAGGGGUCUUCGCAGGGCUGUGCCCCAGGUUCCAAGCCGUCUGAGGGCGGUGUUUCCCCAGUGCCCGCAGGGAGCGGCCCCACGAACCACUCCUCCGUAGCCAUCGUGGGGCUGGAGGAAGGGAUCGGAGCUCUUUAAAUCCCCACCGCCUUGGUUGGCCGAGGGUUCGACCCCGCCCCGGGAACCUCUUACUCGCCCGGGCUGGGAGCACGGCCCAGUCCACCUCACCCCAGCUUCAACCUCUCCUCCGGCGCCGAGCCGCGCGCGGAGGGAGUUCGCCUCGUUUGAAUUUCAACACGCAGGAGGGGCGCUCGGGGCAGCUCGGGGCAGCUCGGGUCUGCUCGGGUCCGCUUGGGCGCGCGCUCAAGCAAUCAAACGGAGGGCGGCGGGCGGCCGGGUGGGGGUGGAGGCGCGGGCGCGG